CGUAGGGUGCAAGCGUUGUCCGGAAUUAUUGGGCGUAAAGAGCUCGUAGGCGGUUUGUUGCGUCGGCUGUGAAAUCCCGAGGCUCAACCUCGGGUCUGCAGUCGAUACGAGCAAACUAGAGUGUUGCAGGGGAGACUGGAAUUCCUGGUGUAGCGGUGAAAUGCGCAGAUAUCAGGAGGAACACCGGUGGCGAAGGCGGGUCUCUGGGCAACAACUGACGCUGAGGAGCGAAAGCGUGGGGAGCGAACAGG
rnacentral:rRNA from 1 species